rnacentral:rRNA from 1 species
GGGUUGUGAGGUUAAGCGACUAAGCGUACACGGUGGAUGCCCUGGCAGUCAGAGGCGAUGAAGGGCGUGCUAAUCUGCGAUAAGCGCCGGUAAGGUGAUAUGAACCGUUAUAACCGGCGAUACCCGAAUGGGGAAACCCAGUGUGACUCGUCACACUAUCAUUAACUGAAUCCAUAGGUUAAUGAGGCGAACCGGGGGAACUGAAACAUCUAAGUACCCCGAGGAAAAGAAAUCAACCGAGAUUCCCCCAGUAGCGGCGAGCGAACGGGGAGGAGCCCAGAGCCUGAAUCAGCAUGUGUGUUAGUGGAAGCGUCUGGAAAGGCGCGCGAUACAGGGUGACAGCCCCGUACACAAAAGCGCAUGUGCUGUGAGCUCGAUGAGUAGGGCGGGACACGUGGUAUCCUGUCUGAAUAUGGGGGGACCAUCCUCCAAGGCUAAAUACUCCUGACUGACCGAUAGUGAACCAGUACCGUGAGGGAAAGGCGAAAAGAACCCCGGCGAGGGGAGUGAAAAAGAACCUGAAACCGUGUACGUACAAGCAGUGGGAGCACCCUUCGGGGUGUGACUGCGUACCUUUUGUAUAAUGGGUCAGCGACUUAUAUUCUGUAGCAAGGUUAACCGAAUAGGGGAGCCGGAGGGAAACCGAGUCUUAAUUGGGCGUUAAGUUGCAGGGUAUAGACCCGAAACCCGGUGAUCUAGCCAUGGGCAGGUUGAAGGUUGGGUAACACUAACUGGAGGACCGAACCGACUAAUGUUGAAAAAUUAGCGGAUGACCUGUGGCUGGGGGUGAAAGGCCAAUCAAACCGGGAGAUAGCUGGUUCUCCCCGAAAGCUAUUUAGGUAGCGCCUCGUGAAUUCAUCUCCGGGGGUAGAGCACUGUUUCGGCUAGGGGGCCAUCCCGGCUUACCAACCCGAUGCAAACUGCGAAUACCGGAGAAUGUUAUCACGGGAGACACACGGCGGGUGCUAACGUCCGUCGUGAAGAGGGAAACAACCCAGACCGCCAGCUAAGGUCCCAAAGUCAUGGUUAAGUGGGAAACGAUGUGGGAAGGCCCAGACAGCCAGGAUGUUGGCUUAGAAGCAGCCAUCAUUUAAAGAAAGCGUAAUAGCUCACUGGUCGAGUCGGCCUGCGCGGAAGAUGUAACGGGGCUAAACCAUGCACCGAAGCUGCGGCAGCGACGCUGAUGCGUUGUUGGGUAGGGGAGCGUUCUGUAAGCCUGCGAAGGUGGCCUGUGAGGGUUGCUGGAGGUAUCAGAAGUGCGAAUGCUGACAUAAGUAACGAUAAAGCGGGUGAAAAGCCCGCUCGCCGGAAGACCAAGGGUUCCUGUCCAAC